GACAGACGGUCCCGAGCGUUAGGCGGAAUCACUGGGCUUAAAGCGUGUGUAGGCGGAUGCCUAAGUACCUUGUGAAAUCCCACGGCUCACCCGUGGAACUGCUUGGUAUACUGGGUGUCUUGAGCCACUUAGGGGCUACCGGAACAAAUGGUGGAGCGGUGAAAUGCGUAGAUAUCAUUUGGAACGCCAAUGGUGAAAACAGGUAGCUGGGAGUGUGCUGACGCUGAGACACGAAAGCCAGGGGAGCAAACGGG
rnacentral:rRNA from 1 species